rnacentral:rRNA from 1 species
AUGCACGCUAGCUACAGGCUUCACACCUGCCAGUCGAGGGGAAACGAUGAGAGAGCUUGCUCUCUUAGGCGUCGACCGGCGCACGGGUGAGUAACGCGUAUCCAACCUACCCAUUACAGGGGGAUAACCUUGCGAAAGUAAGACUAAUACCCCAUGGCAUUUUAUGGUGGCAUCAUUAUAGGAUUAAAGAUUUAUUGGUAAUGGAUGGGGAUGCGUCUGAUUAGCUUGUUGGCGGGGUAACGGCCCACCAAGGCAACGAUCGGUAGGGGUUCUGAGAGGAAGGUCCCCCACAUUGGAACUGAGACACGGUCCAAACUCCUACGGGAGGCAGCAGUGAGGAAUAUUGGUCAAUGGGCGAGAGCUUGAACCAGCCAAGUAGCGUGCAGGAUGACGGCCCUAUGGGUUGUAAACUGCUUUUAUAGGGGAAUAAAGUGAGCUACGUGUAGUUUAUUGCAUGUACCCUAUGAAUAAGGACCGGCUAAUUCCGUG